GACGAACGCUGGCGGCGUGCUUAACACAUGCAAGUCGAACGGUACUUACUGAGUAGUAAUACGAAGUUUGUAUAGUGGCGGACGGGUGAGUAACGCGUGAGCAAUCUGCCUUUAAGAGGGGGAUAACACCGGGAAACCGGUGCUAAUACCGCAUAAGACCACACUGCCACAUGGCAGAGGGGUAAAAGGAGCAAUCCGCUUAAAGAUGAGCUCGCGUCCCAUUAGCUAGUUGGUGAGGUAACGGCUCACCAAGGCUGCGAUGGGUAGCCGACCUGAGAGGGUGAUCGGCCACACUGGAACUGAGACACGGUCCAGACUCCUACGGGAGGCAGCAGUGGGGAAUAUUGGGCAAUGGGCGAAAGCCUGACCCAGCAACGCCGCGUGAGGGAAGAAGGUUUUCGGAUUGUAAACCUCUGUCCUUGGGGACGAAAAAAAUGACGGUACCCAAGGAGGAAGCCCCGGCUAACUUCGUGCCAGCAGCCGCGGUAAUAC
rnacentral:rRNA from 1 species